rnacentral:rRNA from 1 species
UACGAGGGGGGCGAGCGUUGUUCGGAAUUAUUGGGCGUAAAGGGUGCGUAGGCGGUUCCGCAAGUCCUGUGUGAAAUCCCCGGGCUCAACCUGGGAACUGCAUUUGUGACUGCAUAGCUAGAGUACGGUAGAGGGGGAUGGAAAUUCCGCGUGUAGCAGUGAAAUGCGUAGAUAUGCGGAGGGAACACCGAUGGCGAAGGCAAUCCCCUGGACCUGUACUGACGCUCAUGC